rnacentral:misc_RNA from 1 species
UGGCUCUCGCAUCGAUGAAGAACGCAGCGAAAUGCGAUAAGUAAUGUGAAUUGCAGAAUUCAGUGAAUCAUCGAAUCUUUGAACGCACCUUGCACCCUUUGGUAUUCCGAAGGGUACGCCCGUUUGAGUGUCAUUGUACUCUCACCUCUAUUACUUUUUGUAAUAGAUGCGUGGAUCUGAACGUUGCUGUGUUAGUACAGCUCGUUUGAAAUAUCUGAGUGUACCCUGUAAUCAGUGUAACCAAUGUGAUAAGUAUCUUCAUUGGGUCAGACUUGUCUGCGCUGUUCUAUAGGCUCUACGCUUCUAAUCGUCUUCGGACACCACCUUGACAUUUGGCCUCAAAUCGGGUGGGACUACCCGCUGA